UCCGCUGUAGCACAAUGGCUAUUCUAUUCAUCUCAAGAAAUUCCGGGUUCAAAUCCCGGCAGCGGAA